rnacentral:rRNA from 1 species
AUUGAACGCUGGCGGCAUGCCUUACACAUGCAAGUCGAACGGCAGCGGGCCCUUCGGGGUGCCGGCGAGUGGCGAGCGGGUGAGUAAUGCAUCGGAACGUACCCGGGAGAGGGGGAUAACCGGCCGAAAGGCUGGCUAAUACCGCAUGAACUCGGAAGAGCAAAGCGGGGGACCUUCGGGCCUCGCGCUCUCGGAGCGGCCGAUGUCCGAUUAGGCUAGUUGGUGGGGUAAAGGCCCACCAAGGCGACGAUCGGUAGCGGGUCUGAGAGGACGAUCCGCCACACUGGGACUGAGACACGGCCCAGACUCCUACGGGAGGCAGCAGUGGGGAAUCUUGGACAAUGGGCGCAAGCCUGAUCCAGCAAUGCCGCGUGGGUGAAGAAGGCCUUCGGGUUGUAAAGCCCUUUCGGCGGGGAAGAAAUCGGUCAGGCGAAUAGUCUGGCCGGAUGACGGUACCCGCAGAAGAAGCACCGGCUAACUACGUG